UACAGAGGUGGCAAGCGUUGUUCGGAAUUACUGGGCGUAAAGGGCGCGUAGGCGGCCUUCUAAGUCAGACGUGAAAUCCCCCGGCUUAACCUGGGAACUGCGUCUGAUACUGGAGGGCUUGAGUAUGGGAGAGGGAUGUAGAAUUCCAGGUGUAGCGGUGAAAUGCGUAGAUAUCUGGAGGAAUACCGGUGGCGAAGGCGGCAUUCUGGACCAUUACUGACACUGAAUCGCGAAAGCUAGGGGAGCAAACGGG
rnacentral:rRNA from 1 species